CACGUAGGGGGCAAGCGUUGUCCGGAUUUAUUGGGCGUAAAGAGCUCGUAGGCGGUUCGGUUAGUUGGGUGUGAAACCUCCAGGCUCAACCUGGAGACGCCACCCGAUACUGCUGUGACUAGAGUCCGGUAGGGGAGCGUGGAAUUCCUGGUGUAGCGGUGAAAUGCGCAGAUAUCAGGAGGAACACCAGCGGCGAAGGCGGCGCUCUGGGCCGGAACUGACGCUGAGGAGCGAAAGCGUGGGUAGCAAACAGG
rnacentral:rRNA from 1 species